UCGAAGAGAGAGAAACCUACCGAUGAUGAGUGUGAGAGAGGAGCAUAGAUGUUAGAGAGAGAGAGCGGCAGAGACAGCGCGUUGGAGAGAGAGGGGGAGAGAGAGGGGGGUGAUCGGUUCAGGAGAGAGAGGGAUGUAGAGAGACGGUGCGCAAGAGAGAGAGAAGGAUAGAGAGGGGCAUUCGGUUGAGGAGGGAGAGAGAGGGAGCAGCAUUCAAUCUAGGGAAAAAGGUCUGGGGAGAGAGGGUGGGGCGUUCGGUUUAGGAGGGUAGAGAGAGUAGUAGAGAGGAGGAGAGAGAGAAGGAGGCAGAGAGACAGUAAAAGAGAGAGAAGGAGAGAGAGGUGCGGUCGGUUCAGGGAAAAGGGUUGGGGGAGAAAGGGUGGGAA
rnacentral:lncRNA from 1 species